rnacentral:rRNA from 1 species
GAUGAACGCUAGCGGGAGGCUUAACACAUGCAAGUCGUGGGGCAGCAUUAGGUAGCAAUACUUAGAUGGCGACCGGCGCACGGGUGAGUGACGCGUAUGCAACCUACCCAGUACAGGGGGAUAGCCCGGAGAAAUUCGGAUUAAUACCCCAUAAUGAUAUAGAGAGGCAUCUUUUUAUAUUUAAAGCUUCGGCGGUACUGGAUGGGCAUGCGUAAGAUUAGCUAGUUGGUAGGGUAACGGCCUACCAAGGCUCCGAUCUUUAGGGGUCCUGGGAGGGUGAUCACCCACACUGGUACUGAGACACGGACCAGACUCCUACGGGAGGCAGCAGUGAGGAAUAUUGGUCAAUGGGCGCAAGCCUGAACCAGCCAUCCCGCGUGAAGGAAGAAGGCGCUAUGCGUUGUAAACUUCUUUUCCGGAGGAAUAAAAUCUUGUACGCGUACAGGACUGAAGGUACUCCGGGAAUAAGCAUCGGCUAACUCCGUGCCAGCCGCCGCCGUAA